GCACAUUGCUGGGAGGGUGGGCUUGCAAGGUUCUUGUUCUCUUCUCGGCUUGUUUGUGUUGAACAGUAGUUGAAUGUUUGGAGGUGAGUGACGAUAUAGAGUGGUGGUGACAUUAACGUCAAGUAUCCUGAGAUUUGUCAAUGAUAAUCCAAGACGACAGUUCGACAGUUGAUUAGCUAGUUAUACGUAGUGAUGGAAGACAAGAUGGAAGCACAGGUGCCGGCUGUGGCUGCAGAUGAGCAGACAGAUAGUCCAACUGUUGAUAUACCAUCACAAUCACCUUCUGUCCCGAUAUCAGACACACCGAAUUCAAGUGUGAAGAAGCCAAGAUCAAGACCUGAUUCUGAAUCUUCAACACCAAAUACAAAUAAAAUUGCCAAAAUGAGUCCUCGUGCUACUAGAUCAAGCCAGAAUCCAGACUUUGCUGCUAAACAACGAAAAUUUCUGAAUCGAGUGCAUGAUCCUAUCAGAAGAGAUAAUAGUGAUAGUGAAAACUCUCAAGAAGUAAUAACAACCCCUAAUAAUUCUAAAAAUGUGAAAGAGAACAAGCCAAAAUCUGGAGAUCGAAAGAGUAUUGUUGAUUUAAAGAGGAAAUUUGAGAAAGAAUCACCUCAUCCACACAAAAAAUCUGGAGAAGUUGAUGAGGAAGGCUCAUCUAAGAAAAGGAGAACCAAAGAGCCGACCAAAGUUGUAGGAGGAGUAGACAGCUAUUGCUGGCGCUGCCACCGUGAUGGCUCAGUGAUACCUUGUGAGAUCUGCCCCCGAGUCUACCACCUCAGAUGCAUGCAAAUGGAUACAGCUCCACCCAAAGGCUGGAUGUGUCCGGAGUGUAGCACAGUCACUCAGGCUGAGAACACAGAUACCAGGUCAAGAGCCAUGCGAAUGUUGAGUCUGGACCAGUUGUGCAACUUGCUGCGGUACGCUCUCACCAGGAUGCAGAAUUAUGAAGGGUCAGAUGAUUUUGCCAAACCAGUGGAUGUAGCAGCGUUCCCGUACUAUCGAGAUUUCAUUGUGAAGCCUAUGGAUCUGACACAACUCAGACAGAACAUAAGGGCCAAGAUGUAUGGAAGCACAGAGGCGUUCUUGGCUGAUGCUAAAUGGAUAGUACACAACAGUAUUAUUUUUAAUUCAGUACAGUCCAAGUUCACCAACACAGCUCGAGCCCUGCUGAAGAUCUGUAAACAAGAGAUGCAGGAGAUUGAAAACUGCCCAGAUUGCUACCAGAACGCCCACACUCGUUCUUCUGACUCCUGGUUCAUCGAAGCUUGUCGGCGGCCACACGUUCUUGUCUGGGCUAAACUGAAGGGAUUUCCGUUUUGGCCAGCCAAAGCUAUGACAGUCAACAAUGAGAAUAUGGUUGAUGUUCGCUUCUUCGGUGCCCAUGACAGGGCUUGGGUGCCUGUCAGCUCGUGCUUCUUGUACAGUAAGCUCUCGCCAACUCCUGCGUCCAACAAGAGCAGACGUAACCUAGAAGAGUGUCUGCAGGAAUUGGAGCACCAUAUCAAGAAAUUAAGAGACAAGUUUGGUCGCUUUGAAUAUCCCCCGUACAAGACCCCUUAUGAUCCGAAGAACGAGGAUGCUCAACUUGCAAUGUUUCUACCGAUGUAUGAAGUGAAAGUGCCUGGCAAACGAAUGAUGCGUAUCUCUUUGCAUCACGAUGGUGCUAGAAAGUCUCUUCUGCAGCAGAAACCAUCAACAUCUUCAGAAGGGAAGAAGGUCACACAAGAUGUCUCAACUGAAGCAGAUUCACUUGAAAGUGUACAGUCUUCUUCAUCAAACAAACAGGCCACUAAAGACUCACAAGUAAAUGGUUCUAAUAUUCCAAUGGUUGUCUUCCCAUUUAAAUCUGUUGAUGAUAAAGAGACUUCAGAGUCAGAAAAUACUAUGUCUGUAAAUGAGACAGAGAAUGGAAGUGCUAGCAAAAAGCCAAAGACCUCUCAGACAAUCAAGAAAACAUACAAAGUACCUCUCACUGCUGCUGCUAAGAAAUGCUUUGCAACCAAAGACAAAUGCUGUGCCAGGUGCCAGGCUCAGACCACAGACAGCUGGCACCAGACAGAGGGUGGAGACUUAUUCUGUGCUUCUUGCUACAUCAAAGAGACUGAAAAACCAGAUAUUGAACUUAAAAAUGAUGCACAAGUCGAUGAUCCUUUUCAUGAAGAAGCAGCAACAAAUCAAGAAAAAGAAGAAACUGGGAAAGUCUUACACCAUGAAGAAACUAACGGCUCAGAAACUACAGAAGAUUGGACUGCUGGCAAUAAUUCUAUAUCAAGAUUAGAUCACAGCACAGCAAUGGAGGUUCCAACUGACGAUGGAGCUGGGGGAGAUAAAACAAGGAAGGAAGAUGAUAAUGUGACACAACACAGACCUGUAGCCAGUGGUGAUUCUACUAUGUUGGAUUUUGUUGCUGUUGAUUCUCCUCCUAAGUUUUUAAUACCUAAGUCAAGUGAAGCUCAUUCUCCAGAACCCUCAAAAAAACCUUCUAUUGUUGAUAGAUUACAAGAGAAAAUGUGGUUUGCAGUAGAGGAAGCCCUUAAAGGCAGUGGAGAUAAAAAUGCAAGUGUUGAAGAAAAUGUUAGAUCAGAAGAAAAUAAAUCAGAUGAAACUAAUGUAGAAAAGUCUAUAGAUGAACAAACUUUAGUCACAAAAGAUAUGCCUGCAGCUAAAGUGGUGUUGCAUGAUAUAAGUGAUAUUACAAAAUCUGUUGAUAAAACAGGAACAAAUGGAAACCAAAAUAAAAUGAGUAAAGAAACAGAAUUAGAAGCUCAGUCUUCCUCAGAAACUGGUAGUGAACCUGAUACUGAUGUGAGUAGUUCCAUUGAAUCUGACAGUUGUGUUAAUAAUGAAGAAGUUACUAAAAAGAAAAAACAAAACAAUAUAAAUAAUGUUGUUAGAACAUUACAAGAACGUAAAAAUAGUGUAGAGGAAAGCAAUGACCAAACCAACAAAAAUCCUAAUACCAAGGAACCAAAUACACUUAUGUUAGAUGAUUCUAGUGAUGAAAUUCCUGUCUUAAUUAUUGAUGAAGGAGAAGAUAAUCCUGAUGAUCACAACAAACCAUUUGGAAAGUCAGAUAAAAGUAGGCGUAAAGGGAUACCAGCAAAGGUUUUUAGUAGAUCUAGUACAUCAACUGAAUCUUCUGAAACAUCGUCACCAGAUGAACACUCAAAAAAGUCAAAAAUUGUAACGGAAGUGCUCGAUGAAGUUAGUGGUCAGUUUAGGAGAUCUUCAGGUGAAUCAAAUGUAACAAUUACACUUGUUACCGAUGAAGCCACUCCUCAGAAGAAAAAGUCAAAAGAAAUACGUAGCGUCAACAUUUCCAAAAGCUUAAGCCUAAGUGUUGUAAAUGACACAUCUAGUAAUUUGGAAAUGGACUGUGUAGAAAGUGAUUUAGAUGAUCCAGUAGUUGUUGAUUCUACUGUAAAAAAAGUUAAUCCAAGACCAACAGCUAGAAAGACUCUUCCAAAUCCACCCAAACCCAUUGAAUUACCAAGUCAACAAGAAAAGGCUAGUUCAGACAAUCAAAUCAAAGAAACUGAACCAGACAUUGUGAAACUGCGACCAACCCAAACAUUGAUUGACCCUUCGACCCCACCUCCUCCUCUUAUUAAUCUCCAACAAGCUAAGGUGUAUGGACCACCCAAGAUACAGAAUGGUGGCACCCCUGCUGUCCCGAGACUUGUAUCUGUGAAGCCACCACCUAGGCAAGAUAUAGGUCCAGCCAAUGCUCAAAUUGAAGAAGCUAUUACUCAGAUGUCUAGCCAGUUGCGAACGUUACUGGAGGACAUGUUAAGAGGAGUGUCAGAGGCAGGAGCCACAGAGGCUACUGUCAAAGCUUUACAAAUAGAACUUGAAAGACUACAGUGGCGCCACAGACAAGAGUUAGCAGAGCUGAAGCACAAUACUGAUCUAAUGGUGAUGGAGAUCCGAGCGAGUAUGGAAGCAGAGAAACAAAGGGCAUUGUUGGACUCCAAGCACAAGCACGAGAUGGAGAAAGAACAAGCAAUACAGGAGACAAAGCGUAAGCAGUGGUGUGCCUUCUGUCUCAAGGAAGCCCAACUGUAUUGUUGCUGGAACACAGCUUAUUGCAGCUACAACUGCCAGCAAUCUCACUGGCUGCCUCACAUGAAUUCUUGCCUGAACAAACAACACCAGGACAAUAAUGUUACAGAGCCGUCACCAAGGGGAGGGCUCACACGACCUGCCUACAACCUUCCUCCAGGACAACAGAAGCAUGUGCCUGAUGCAUGGCUAGGAUCAGAGAGAAAGGUGACGGGAAAUGCUGUGGGUGAUGAAUGGAACAAGAAACUCAUUGUCCAACGCUGUGGGAAGUGUGGGGGUUGCAUUCAUCCCAAAACUUACUCAGCUUGCAAAAACUGAAGAUGCUCAUUUAUCCAAACUGAACUAGAACAGAGAAUUAGACAACAGCUGAUGCCUCCCCCUGCUAACCCACCCCAUUAUCAUCAACCCCAUCGCCCUAAUCAAAUGUACUCGUCUCCACGAUUCCAACAAAGGGCUUCAUGUAACCCUCAUCCA
rnacentral:misc_RNA from 1 species